UUGGGGAAACUUUUCGCCCUGAGCUUUUACUCACAGGUAUUGUUUUCCGUGCUCGUUUCCUAACAACCGUAACACUUUCUAUUAUGGAUUGUUAAUGUUAGGGUAAACAAGCUGAAGCCAAGAGGUCAGCUGGAUGUGCAACCUGAGGUGAGCACUGUCUGCCAGACGAAAGGAGAACACCUGUAACCAAUCUGGAGGACUACCAAAAGCGACUUGACAUUUUUGUACAUUUGGCAACACAAGCAUAAACCCGAAGGCGAUAUGCACAAGAAAGCUACCUUCUUUGACAAGAAAAGAAAUGUGUGGCAGCGGUGGGAUUCGAACCCACGCCCCCGAAGAGACUGGAGCCUUAAUCCAGCGCCUUAGACCGCUCGGCCACGCUACCAGUGAACAUCAACGGAGGAGUAUCUCUGUGUGGGCUAUCGACAUCUCCAGGGGUGAUGAUCGGGUUGGGGGUGGACAGAUGGAGGAAGGAAGCCCCUGUAAGGAGGACUAGGAGGGAGCCCUCUGGCCUGAGCGGGUCAACACCACAGUUUAUGGCAGCAGAACGGAUUAACAAUCUGAGAGGCAAGAAAUCAAGACAAAAAUCUGUCAGCAUAAAGCCACCUCCAGACUGUCAACAUGAGUAACCUCCCCACAGCCUACACACUGACUGUAAACCUCCAACCCCCCCAACAAUCAUGGACGUCAGUGUUAUGCAGACAUUUUAGACACGACAAAGGACUGCCAUUGUCUCUGUGGCAUCAUAACCUGUUUAGCGCCACCGCACCUUAAUGCACAUCAAGGGAAGCGUCUGAAGCAGCUCCAAUCUACUCUGCUUUUUUUUUUUUUGCUUUUUUUUUCAUCUGGUUAUUUUUGGCAAAGCGAGUCAUGGUGGAGAUGGCUAGAGAUGAAGAUAACUGUGAUGAUGAUGAUGAUGAUGACGAUGAUGAUGAUGAUGAUGAUGACGGGGAGGAGGGCAACAGCCACCUCUGUUGACCAUAAACAAAGGGAUACAAGUAACAAUCCAUUCAGCUCCCACAGGGGCCGCACAGUAAUUCACCGCAAAAUAAUGCAAAUGUCCCAUGAAAAAAACCCGCAAAUUUAUCUGUUAACUACAGACUGUGAAAUAUGUUAUUGGAUUUAUCUAAUCAAUAAAAAUAUCAUGUGUCUAAAGGGAAUUUAAAUGUAUUCAGAUGACUAUUAAACCUUCUCCAACCCAACAAACAAACUCUCUCUUUUGUAGCCUACAUUCUUUGCAGAUGUGAACUGCACAGUGAAAAAUUGCGGAGCUUCGGAGGGAUUUUAAUUUUUCAUCAGAUUUCUCAGUAUCAGUAAUAAACCAGUCAACCCAAUUAAUUUCUUUUUUUUUCCAGAGGAAAAAGUAAAGUAAAAUAAGUUGCCUCUUACU